ACUUCGGUCUUUCAUUUUGUUAACUUUGUGUAUAAAGAUUGUGACUAUUUUGUAGAAUUUUCUGCGGACUGAAGCUUGCCAAACAACUCCAAGACAGAAAAAGAGGAAGCAAAACAUGAGGAAGAAGGAAUGCAUGAGUUUAAGAAGAGAAAGGCAAGUUUACACAAAAGAACAAGGAAAAUAACUGACAGCCCUCAAUGUACAAUGACUGUCCUGCGUGCUCCAGGCUAACUCAAUUCUUCUUCCCUCUGGCCAGAAUGCAUGCCACUGGAGAAACAAUUUAUUUCCCGAAACCACGCUGCCUUCAGCAAUUUCAAAUAGCUUUAAAUUAUGUACCCUUGGCCCAGACUUGGAGGCAGAGGAGCCCGUACGUUCAGAUGAAUGGUAAUGAGCAUUGUCAGAGAGGCAGGAAAAUUGAGUCCCCGGCUCUGGCUGCUGGGCUGAGAGCUGCAGGAGCUAAUUGUGUCAAUGGUAAUGAGACCGAGCAGGCAGCAGAUGCUCACGUGCCUUUACAAUCCAAAUCCCACCAACAAAUUCCUCCCACAGAAACUUUGAGGGACGUCUUGGCACCCUGGAGAUGGUGA
rnacentral:lncRNA from 1 species